AGACUGUUUAGAGUUUGAUACGGUGUUCCGGAUCGCGUUCUUUUUACUGGAUUUUUGGACCGUUUUGAAAUUCCAAUUUACCUUUUCAUCAUCACCAUCAUUACCUCCGACUUCAUCAUUAUCAUCACCAUCACUCACCGGCAUCCCAAAUUAAGGAAACAUCAAUUCAUGUCACCAUUCACAGCUGCAGUGCCAACAGAAAUUGGAUUAAUAAACAAGGACAUGCAUCUGUUGACGGGCUAAAAGGUGACUGAAUUGCUAUUCCAUGGAAUUAAAU
rnacentral:sRNA from 1 species